CAAUUUUACGAUCUAUUUUCAUUUUUGCUCUCGCUGCAAUUUUUCACUGGAAAAGUUACUAACCUAACUAUUAUUUAACCGUAUUCCUUGGACUAGAACUAAUAAAACUCAAAAAAUAAAAAUUCGGUCAGAGCGAUAGAGUAACACUGCAAAGUACUGUAAAAAAUAAAAAUUCGCUCAGAGCGAGAGAGAGGAUCGCUUUCAUAGUGGAAUUUUCGGCGAAAUGGCAACGUUGCGAACAAAGUUGUAUGAACGACUUAUCGCAACUCCGGAUUGCAAAUGUAAAAUUUUUUAAAAAUGCCGCACCUUUAAAAACCGACAAAAAAUGACAUUUGAUGAUGCACGUGGAAAACCCGAUCAGGAAUUCGACUUAUCAAGAGACCCGCGAGGAGAUAUUGAGUAUUCACCAAA